GCGCCCUUAGCUCAGCUGGAUAGAGCAACGGCCUUCUUAAGCCGUAGGUCACAGGUUCGAACCCUGUAGGGCGUACCA
rnacentral:tRNA from 1 species